GAUUAAGUUAUUAAGGGCGCACGGUGGAUGCCUUGGCACUAGAAGCCGAUGAAGGACGUUACUAACGACGAUAUGCUUUGGGGAGCUGUAAGUAAGCUUUGAUCCAGAGAUUUCCGAAUGGGGAAGCCCAACAUGAGUUAUGUCAUGUUAUCGAUAUGUGAAUACAUAGCAUAUCAGAAGGCACACCCGGAGAACUGAAACAUCUUAGUACCCGGAGGAAGAGAAAGAAAAUUCGAUUCCCUUAGUAG
rnacentral:rRNA from 1 species